rnacentral:rRNA from 1 species
CGGGGAAUAUUGGGCAAUGGGCGAAAGCCUGACCCAGCAACGCCGCGUGAAGGAAGAAGGUUUUCGGAUUGUAAACUUCUUUUAUCAGGGACGAAGAAAGUGACGGUACCUGAUGAAUAAGCCACGGCUAAUUACGUGCCAGCAGCCGCGGUAAUACGGAGGAUGCAAGCGUUAUCCGGAUUCAUUGGGUUUAAAGGGUGCGCAGGCGGCGCGAAAAGUCAGCGGUCAAAGUUCCGGGCUCAACCCGGUGACGCCGUUGAAACUUCGUGCUGGAGUUCGUGCGAGGGAGGCGGAAUGCGUUGUGUAGCGGUGAAAUGCAUAGAUAUGACGCAGAACCCCGAUUGCGAAGGCAGCUUUCCAGCACGCGACUGACGCUGAGGCACGAAAGCGUGGGGAGCGAACAGGGAUUAGAUACCCUGGUAGU